rnacentral:rRNA from 1 species
UACGUAGGUGGCGAGCGUUGUCCGGAUUUACUGGGCGUAAAGAGCGCGCAGGCGGUCGUUCAAGUCGCGUGUGUAAGCCCCCGGCUCAACUGGGGAGGGUCACGCGAUACUGAUCGACUCGAAGGCAGGAGGGGGUAGUGGAAUUCCCGGUGUAGUGGUGAAAUGCGUAGAUAUCGGGAGGAACACCAGUGGCGAAGGCGGCGAUCUGGGAAGAUACUGACGCUGAGGUGCGAAAGCGUGGGGAGCAAACAGG